CCCUUAGAUGUUCUGGGCUGCACGCGCGCUACACUGAUGCGCUCAACGAGUUUACGACCUUGCCCGGAAGGGUUGGGUAAUCUUUUUAAAACGCAUCGUGAUGGGGAUAGAUUAUUGCAAUUAUUAAUCUUUAACGAGGAAUUCCUAGUAAGCGCGAGUCAUCAGCUCGUGCUGAUUACGUCCCUGCCCUUUGUACACACCGCCCGUCGCUCCUACCGAUUGGAUGGUCCGGUGAAGCCUCGGGAUUGUGGUUCUUGCCGCUUUGUUGUGGCGUGACCGCGAGAACUUGUCUAAACCUUAUCAUCUAGAGGAAGGUGAAGUCGUAACA
rnacentral:rRNA from 1 species